rnacentral:rRNA from 1 species
UACGUAGGGUGCAAGCGUUGUCCGGAAUUAUUGGGCGUAAAGAGCUCGUAGGCGGUCUGUCGCGUCGGCUGUGAAAACUCGGGGCUCAACCCCGAGCCUGCAGUCGAUACGGGCAGACUAGAGUGCUGUAGGGGAGACUGGAAUUCCUGGUGUAGCGGUGAAAUGCGCAGAUAUCAGGAGGAACACCGGUGGCGAAGGCGGUUCUCUGGGACGGUACUGACGCUGAGACGCGAAAGCGUGGGGAGCGAACAGG